CCCAGCUGCCGACAUGCCUGCUCAGCGGCAUAUUUAUUUAAACCUGCCGCUGGCCCUGGUGGUGCUGAGCGGGGCCUUGCUGAGGGCCUCCUCAGCUUGUUUGAGAAUCCAUUCACACCUGCGCAUUAAAUUACUGACACUAAUGUUACCAGUAAUGCUUGGACGGGCUCCAGUUUUUAACCCAUAUGGCUGCAGAAGCUGAGAAAUACUGGACACGUUUAAGUGUGUGGAAGAGGAUGGCUGACAGUGUUGCCUCAAGGUGGGGGUGGGUGACACAUUGUUGAAUAUAACUUGGCUGCGGAGAACUCAAUGGCUUUUGAACUUGAGAGGUGUGGAGGCAUGAACACCUGCAACCCCCUAAACCCUCCCCCUAACCCUUUGCUCUCAGGAUACCUUUCACCUUGUCUCACUCUGCAGCACUCAACAAGCGGCUGAGAAGAAAAGGGAAACGAGCAGAGAAAAGAAAGUUUCCAAAGAUGCCUCCCAGGUUGUCAGUUUGGGGUCAGAGGUCUGAGGUCAGCAUGGAGGGGGUAUGUCAGGUGUUAAGUGGAGCAGACAAGCCAAUGGAGAGCUUUUUCGAUGCUUACCGGACAGCGAGCUUACCUGGGGCCAGGUGGGAGCACAAAGCACUCAGCUUUAGAUGGAGGUCACCCAAACAGAAUGGAGAUCAGAAGAAAGUGUUGUCAUCAUGAAGGCAAGAAGUAAAAACAUUUUAUUCUUCAGUGACAGACUGCAGAUCUUGUGCUAUUUAAGUCCAGUCUUAGCCAUAGCUGGCCUGAGGUGUGAAUUCUGUAACUGCACAUGGAUUUUCACAGGACAGAUUUACAGUUGUAUCCAUACCAACAAAAGCUUGCCCAUCAUCUCUUAGGAGUGCUCUUAAUUUCACCCCUUUGCGAUUCCGUACCUUUGCAGUCUUGGUUGUUUUGUGCCUGACUUUUACAGGUGUGAAAUGGAGCCAUCUGCCACAAGACGUUUCGUACCGACUAUGUGUCUAUCUGUACCCUCCAGGGGAAUGUUUUGAACUUGGUUUGGCAGCUGAUUGUUUAAAGUAUUUUUCUGUAUUAUACUCAUAGCUUAUUGUAAGGAAAAAUGGUUUUAUUGCUCCUAUAAAUCAUAUUUACCAGCAGGAAGUUACUUGUAGUUAUUUUGGUUUGAUCAAGGGUUGGUCAAUGGGCCCAAAAAGGAAUCAGAGCCAAUAGGAUGUUACAGCAAGUUUUCAAGAUAUUACAUAAAAUUAAAUAAAAUCAUAUAAGUCUUCUUAUUAUUAUCAAAUUAUCUUGACAAUUUUUGAGGUCUAAGUACAGAGGUACAAAAGUAUGAUAUAUAAGGCAACACAGAUACAGAAUGAGGGAACAGAUUGACAAAUGAGCCAUUCCUGACCCUCCCAAGUGUGCUUCAGAUGGGCUUAGCCGGAAUUAGGCCUCCAAAUUAAUUUCCUCAUUGGGCCUCAUAGAACAAUGGACCGGCUCUGACCUUAGCACUUCUCCUCAUGUUUAUUUUAUGUAUUUUAAUAGAAACUGAAUAGUGACACACUAGCCUUUAAAAUGUGAGACUUUGAUUGGCACUAUAGCCCUAAGAGACAAAAAGAAAGUAAGAAAGAAAGACAAAACAUAUCAAUAAUGAAAACAACUCAUAGUCGACUCAUUUUUCAGACCAUUCAGAUUGUGAGAUGAGCAUGAGGGACGGAAGUGUGAAACUUGAGUUAAAUUGUUAAAAAACCUCAGCUUAAAGCAUAUGAAAAAUUCAUUUUUAGAAAUAAAUGUAAUUGAUUCAAUUGAGACUUUAAUUAUUUUUAGGGAUCUCAGUUAAUUAGUGGUGAUUGAGGAUGUUAAUAGUACUUUUGUUUUCAAUUUUGAUGUCCAAACAUAAACAAUAAACAAAGCAGAUUUCAACAUUA